AUUGCAGAGAUGCAUAGGUCGUGGUUGCAUCUGCACAGAUGUGAACUGGAUCUUGUUCACACUUGGACAGAAGAAGGUUCCUGAGUAAGCAGGAUCAUUGUGAGGACUAAAAGGAAGUGAAUUCAUACCAAGCAGUUGGGAAGGUUCCUGGUGCAAAGUGGGAAGUCAUCAACCACAACAGCCAAUAAGUGGGUGAGGUUACACCUCCUUCCAGCCUGAUGCUGACAAGGAGCUGAAGGGAGAUCUCUGAGAGCCCCUGCUGCCACCAUGAGCUCAGAAAACUUCGGACACUGCUCAGGUAGUCAGCUCUAUCUUCUCUGGAAGGUUCCUACUUGUGACCCAGAAUUGAAGGUGGUAUUUCCAGGCUGAGUUAAACUACAGAGGAAUCAAGAACCAUGAAGAGAAUGGAUAGGCAUCCUUGAGCUUCCAAGAGAGACCAGGAGAUUCCCCUCACCUUGGCGUCUGCCCACAGCCUCCUUCCCGGCCCUCUCCUCAGGGAGCCAUGACCAAGGUGCUGACUUCCUGCCUCUCCCACCACCCAGCAAGUGACUCAGUACAGUGGCCGGGAGAGCACACGCGGAGCAUGGACAGCAGAUGGCAGUCCCCAAGGCCAGGCAGGCCUGGGAGAGGAGGUCCUCCAGCAUCAUUGGACUUCUCCUGCUCUCUCCCUUGGUCCAAGCCUCCUCCUGCUCCCAGACCUGGGGCAUCACCACAGAAGCUGUUUCCUCCAGCUCUUCCCAGCCACCAGCCCAGCCUCUCUGCAAGGGUCAGUGGACCCUGCUCUGAACCCCAGUCUGGCCUUUGCUGCCUCCCACCUGGAGGGGAGGGGUGAUGAGGAUCACAUCUGGCUCCACCCCUCCUCCACCUGGUGGAUCCCCUCCCCUGCCCAUCCUACAGUCUGUGGUCAGAAGCAGGAAUCCUCUCACAUGGUAGUUUUACUCAAUGGCAUGGGGUCCUAAAGUCUUUUUAAAAAUUAGGUAACAUGAGUUUGUAAUGUUUUCUAAGUUUCAUGUGUACAAUAUUAUAUUUCUACUUCUAUAUAUGCUACUGCAUGCUCACCACCAAAAAUGAGUUGCAAAGAAUCCCCACUGUGUGCUAUAGAGUAGAAUGAGCAAAUCACAAGAGUUUUAAAUGGAAGGAGGAAUCAAAGUCUUGUCCAAGAAAUGUCUGACACUUGACCUUGGAUUCAACCUCAGAGCUUUCAGCUCUGUGGCCUUGGGCUGCCCAUUGUCCUGUCUGAGUUUCACUUGCCUCUUCUGUGAGAUAAGGAUAAUGCCUCUUUGUGUGGAAUUACCAAGAAACACAUUUGAUAUCAAGUCCCAGCCCAUACACACAUAUAUAGCCUGGCCACCAACAUCUUACCUACAAUUCCAUAACCUCCAGAUCUCUGAAAUCACUCAGGGAUUUUGAUAAGUCAUUGAGGAGUAGUCUUACCCUGUAGUGAUCUGAGGCUCUUUGUAGUCAUUACAUUCUUUAUCCCAUUUAACGUGAGUAUUCAAUUGUCUCACUACCCAAACAUGAAAGCAUUCAUUUAUAGGGCGCUGCCCAUCUAUUCUGGAAGGGGCAACUAACAAAUCACACUUGCUCUCUCUUCUCUUUGUAUAUGUGUGUUCAGUUGCUCAGUCAUGUCCAACUGUUU